CCUACGGGUGGCAGCAGUCGAGAAUCAUUCACAAUGGGGGAAACCCUGAUGGUGCGACGCCGCGUGGGGGAAUGAAGGUCUUCGGAUUGUAAACCCCUGUCAUGUGGGAGCAAAUUAAAAAGAUAGUACCACAAGAGGAAGAGACGGCUAACUCUGUGCCAGCAGCCGCGGUAAUACAGAGGUCUCAAGCGUUGUUCGGAAUCACUGGGCGUAAGGCGUGCGUAGGCUGUUUCGUAAGGCGUGUGUGAAAGGCGCGGGCUCAACCCGCGGACGGCACAUGAUACUGCGAGACUGGAGUAAUGGAGGGGGAACCGGAAUUCUCGGUGUAGCAGUGAAAUGCGUAGAUAUCGAGAGGAACACUCGUGGCGAAGGCGGGUUCCUGGACAUUAACUGACGCUGAGGCACGAAGGCCAGGGGAGCGAAAGGGAUUAGAUACCCCUGUAGUC
rnacentral:rRNA from 1 species